rnacentral:tRNA from 1 species
UGUGGUGUAGCAGACAGCGCACUAGUCUCAUGUACUAAAGAUCCCGGGUUCGAUCCCCGGCA